rnacentral:rRNA from 1 species
CACGUAGGCACCAAGCGUUGUCCGGAUUUAUUGGGCGUAAAGAGCUCGUAGGCGGUUCGGUAAGUCGGGUGUGAAAUCUCGGGGCUCAACCCCGAAACUGCACUUGAUACUGCCUCGCUUGAGUACUGGAGAGGAGACUGGAAUUUACGGUGUAGCAGUGAAAUGCGUAGAUAUCGUAAGGAAGACCAGUGGCGAAGGCGAGUCUCGUGGACAGUUACUGACGCUGAGGCACGAAGGCCAGGGGAGCAAACGGG